ensembl:snoRNA
CUGCAUUCGCUGAUAGACCUUAAAUAAUAUGCUAUGGCUCUUUUGGUUUGCCGUAGGAUGCAAAAUAAAAAGUCUCUGCACUUUCUGUCUUUGUGGUGGCCCAGAUUGAGUAGGGAAAUAUAUUU